CAGGACGAACGCUGGCGGCGUGCCUAAUACAUGCAAGUCGAGCGGACAGAAGGGAGCUUGCUCCCGGAUGUUAGCGGCGGACGGGUGAGUAACACGUGGGUAACCUGCCUGUAAGACUGGGAUAACUCCGGGAAACCGGAGCUAAUACCGGAUAGUUCCUUGAACCGCAUGGUUCAAGGAUGAAAGACGGUUUCGGCUGUCACUUACAGAUGGACCCGCGGCGCAUUAGCUAGUUGGUGAGGUAACGGCUCACCAAGGCGACGAUGCGUAGCCGACCUGAGAGGGUGAUCGGCCACACUGGGACUGAGACACGGCCCAGACUCCUACGGGAGGCAGCAGUAGGGAAUCUUCCGCAAUGGACGAAAGUCUGACGGAGCAACGCCGCGUGAGUGAUGAAGGUUUUCGGAUCGUAAAGCUCUGUUGUUAGGGAAGAACAAGUGCAAGAGUAACUGCUUGCACCUUGACGGUACCUAACCAGAAAGCCACGGCUAACUACGUGCCAGCAGCCGCGGUAAUACGUAGGUGGCAAGCGUUGUCCGGAAUUAUUGGGCGUAAAGGGCUCGCAGGCGGUUUCUUAAGUCUGAUGUGAAAGCCCCCGGCUCAACCGGGGAGGGUCAUUGGAAACUGGGAAACUUGAGUGCAGAAGAGGAGAGUGGAAUUCCACGUGUAGCGGUGAAAUGCGUAGAGAUGUGGAGGAACACCAGUGGCGAAGGCGACUCUCUGGUCUGUAACUGACGCUGAGGAGCGAAAGCGUGGGGAGCGAACAGGAUUAGAUACCCUGGUAGUCCACGCCGUAAACGAUGAGUGCUAAGUGUUAGGGGGUUUCCGCCCCUUAGUGCUGCAGCUAACGCAUUAAGCACUCCGCCUGGGGAGUACGGUCGCAAGACUGAAACUCAAAGGAAUUGACGGGGGCCCGCACAAGCGGUGGAGCAUGUGGUUUAAUUCGAAGCAACGCGAAGAACCUUACCAGGUCUUGACAUCCUCUGACAACCCUAGAGAUAGGGCUUUCCCUUCGGGGACAGAGUGACAGGUGGUGCAUGGUUGUCGUCAGCUCGUGUCGUGAGAUGUUGGGUUAAGUCCCGCAACGAGCGCAACCCUUGAUCUUAGUUGCCAGCAUUCAGUUGGGCACUCUAAGGUGACUGCCGGUGACAAACCGGAGGAAGGUGGGGAUGACGUCAAAUCAUCAUGCCCCUUAUGACCUGGGCUACACACGUGCUACAAUGGACAGAACAAAGGGCUGCGAGACCGCAAGGUUUAGCCAAUCCCACAAAUCUGUUCUCAGUUCGGAUCGCAGUCUGCAACUCGACUGCGUGAAGCUGGAAUCGCUAGUAAUCGCGGAUCAGCAUGCCGCGGGUGAAUACGUUCCCGGGCCUUGUACACACCGCCCGUCACACCACGAGAGUUUGCAACACCCGAAGUCGGUGAGGUAACCUUUAUGGAGCCAGCCGCCGAAG
rnacentral:rRNA from 1 species